rnacentral:rRNA from 1 species
UGGGGAAUAUUGCACAAUGGGCGCAAGCCUGAUGCAGCGACGCCGCGUGAGGGAUGACGGCCUUCGGGUUGUAAACCUCUUUCAGUAGGGAAGAAGCGAGAGUGACGGUACCUGCAGAAGAAGCGCCGGCUAACUACGUGCCAGCAGCCGCGGUAAUACGUAGGGCGCAAGCGUUAUCCGGAAUUAUUGGGCGUAAAGAGCUCGUAGGCGGUUUGUCGCGUCUGCCGUGAAAGUCCGGGGCUCAACUCCGGAUCUGCGGUGGGUACGGGCAGACUAGAGUGAUGUAGGGGAGACUGGAAUUCCUGGUGUAGCGGUGAAAUGCGCAGAUAUCAGGAGGAACACCGAUGGCGAAGGCAGGUCUCUGGGCAUUAACUGACGCUGAGGAGCGAAAGCAUGGGGAGCGAACA